rnacentral:rRNA from 1 species
GUCGAACGUGAAGCCACCUUCGGGUGGUGGAAAGUGGCAGACGGGUGAGUAACGCGUGGGAACGUGCCUUUCGGUUCGGAAUAACCCAGGGAAACUUGGGCUAAUACCGGAUACGCCCUCCGGGGGAAAGAUUCAUCGCCGAAAGAUCGGCCCGCGUCGGAUUAGCUAGUUGGUGGGGUAAUGGCCUACCAAGGCGACGAUCCGUAGCUGGUCUGAGAGGAUGAUCCCCCACACUGGGACUGAGACACGGCCCAGACUCCUACGGGAGGCAGCAGUGAGGAAUCUUGCACAAUGGGGGCAACCCUGAUGCAGCGACGCCGCGUGGGCGAUGAAGGCCUUCGGAUCGUAAAGCCCUUUUCUGCGUGACGAGGAACGGACGGUAGCGCAGGAAUAAGCGUCGGCUAACUACGUGCCAGCAGCCGCGGUAAAACGUAGGACGCAAGCGUUAUCCGGAGUUACUGGGCGUAAAGGGCGUGUAGGCGGCUGUUCAAGUGGCUCGUGAAAGAACCCGGCUCAACCGGGGAGGGUCGGGUCAGACUGGAUAGCUGGAGGAUGUCAGAGGGACACGGAAUUCCGGGUGUAGUGGUGAAAUGCGUAGAGAUCCGGAGGAACACCAGUGGCGCAGGCGGUGUCCUGGGGCGUACCUGACGCUGAGACGCGAAAGCAUGGGGAGCGAACGGGAUUAGAAACCCCGGUAGUCCAUGCCGUAAACGAUGCCGACUAGGGGUUCGCCGCAAGGUGGGUCCCGCAGCUAACGCGAUAAGUCGGCCGCCUGGGGAGUACGGUCGCAAGGCUAAAACUCAAAGGAAUUGACGGGGG